CUGGCGGCGUGCCUAAUACAUGCAAGUCGAACGCACUCUCGUUUAGGAUUGAAGGAGCUUGCUCCUGAUUGAUAAACAUUUGAGUGAGUGGCGGACGGGUGAGUAACACGUGGGUAACCUGCCCUAAAGUGGGGGAUAACAUUUGGAAACAGAUGCUAAUACCGCACAAACCUAACACCGCAUGGUGUAGGGUUGAAAGAUGGUUUCGGCUAUCACUUUAGGAUGGACCCGCGGUGCAUUAGUUAGUUGGUGAGGUAAAGGCUCACCAAGACCGUGAUGCAUAGCCGACCUGAGAGGGUAAUCGGCCACACUGGGACUGAGACACGGCCCAGACUCCUACGGGAGGCAGCAGUAGGGAAUCUUCCACAAUGGACGAAAGUCUGAUGGAGCAACGCCGCGUGAGUGAAGAAGGUUUUCGGAUCGUAAAACUCUGUUGUUGGAGAAGAAUGUAUCUGAUAGUAACUGAUCAGGUAGUGACGGUAUCCAUCCAGAAAGCCACGGCUAACUACGUG
rnacentral:rRNA from 1 species